GAGAGCACAGUACGAUGAAAGUUGUAAGCUGUGUUCGGGGGGGGAGUUAUUGUCUAUCGUUGGCCUUAAGAACGCUGGUUUUAAGAAUGAGUGAUUGCCCUUCUCCGACCCUUAC
rnacentral:ncRNA from 1 species